GGAAUUUUCCAACCGUCUCUUGGAGAAGUCUGUCAAAAGGAAAGCUGACCAAGAUUCAAACCCAAGGUCUGUCUGAGUGGCCCGGUGGUCCUGAACAAGUAUUCUCACAUCUCUGGACUCCAGCGGAAAACAGGGGGCAUGCCAUUCUCUUAAAGUGGAAAACAAAUCCUAGUCCCUGCUAGUGGAGAUGCUCUCAACACUCCGACUGCAGACAAGACUUCUACAAAUGAGGACACAUUCACGCAGACUUCCAGAACUUGCGGCAGCUCCUUACAUCUCAGUGACUUGACCUCUGACUCCUGGGUUCAAAGAUCGACCCAUUCCGUGUGUAUGAUGGUUUGUGACCUGUACCCUCCAGAGGCAGAACUCACAGGUAUGUCAAUCUCUGAAUCAAGGAGGAAAAGGGUACCAUGAGACCCAUCUUGAGGAAGUCAGAAGUGGUCUAACUAACACAUACACAGUUCAUUUCUUUUCUGUUUGGCUAAGGAAGAAGGUGACUCUACACAGAGGAAGCCCA
rnacentral:lncRNA from 1 species